rnacentral:rRNA from 1 species
CACAAGUAAGGAUUAGUGUUAUUCAUCUUUAUUAGGUUUAAAGGGUACCUAGACGGCAAAAGCAACUUCUAAAAAGUAUAUCUUUGCUAGAGUUUUAUGUGAGAGGUAAAUAUUAGAACUAUCGGUGUAGGGAUGAAAUCCCUUGAUGACUGAUAGAAUGUGUAACGGCGAAGACAACCCUCUAUGUAUAAACUGACGUUGA